GGAGAGGUGGCUGAGUGGUCGAAGGCGGCGGAUUGCUAAUCCGUUGUACCGUUUUAGGCGGUACCGAGGGUUCGAAUCCCUCCCUCUCCGCCA
rnacentral:tRNA from 1 species